rnacentral:rRNA from 1 species
UCAAACUGAAGAUGGCGACCGGCGCACGGGUGAGUAACACGUAUCCAACCUGCCGAUAACUCGGGGAUAGCCUUUCGAAAGAAAGAUUAAUACCCGAUGGCAUAAUAGAACCGCAUGGUUUGAUUAUUAAAGAAUUUCGGUUAUCGAUGGGGAUGCGUUCCAUUAGGCAGUUGGUGGGGUAACGGCCCACCAAACCUUCGAUGGAUAGGGGUUCUGAGAGGAAGGUCCCCCACAUUGGAACUGAGACACGGUCCAAACUCCUACGGGAGGCAGCAUG